rnacentral:piRNA from 2 species
GUGGUCUAGUGGUUAGGAUUCGG